rnacentral:rRNA from 1 species
AACGAACGCUGGCGGCGUGCUUAACACAUGCAAGUCGAACGCGAAAGGGACUUCGGUCCUGAGUAGAGUGGCGCACGGGUGAGUAACGCGUAAGUAAUCUACCCCUGUAUUCGGAAUAACCCACCGAAAGGUGAGCUAAUACCGGAUACGUUUAUCUUGAUGCGAAUGAUGAUAAAGAAAGGUGGCCUCUUCAUGAAAGCUACUGUACAGGGACGAGCUUGCGUACCAUUAGCUAGUUGGUAGGGUAAUGGCCUACCAAGGCGACGAUGGUUAGCGGGUCUGAGAGGAUGAUCCGCCACACUGGAACUGGAACACGGACCAGACUCCUACGGGAGGCAGCAGUGAGGAAUAUUGCGCAAUGGGGGCAACCCUGACGCAGCGACGCCGCGUGGAUGAUGGAGGCCCUUGGGUCGUAAAAUCCUGUCAGAUGGAAAGAAAUGUAUAUGUGCUAACAUCGCAUAUAUUUGACGGUACCAUCAAAGGAAGCACCGGCUAACUCCGUGCCAGCAGCCGCCGCAG